GUGAUAGCGAGAGAUGCCAGAUUGAUCUACAGAACAAAUAAAGCCUGGGGCAGGUGCAGUACAAAUUUCCCCACACUGCUCCAUCAAUGUGCCUUAACCCUGACCUGGAAGAGCAAUCUGUAGGGGCGAGGAAGGAGUUCAAAGGCCAUGCUCAUUUAGGGUUCAAU
ensembl:misc_RNA